CCUACGGGUGGCAGCAGUGGGGAAUAUUGCACAAUGGGGGAAACCCUGAUGCAGCGACGCCGCGUGAGUGAAGAAGUAAUUCGUUAUGUAAAGCUCUAUCAGCAGGGAAGAAACAGACGGUACCUGAGUAAGAAGCCCUGGCUAACUACGUGCCCGCAGCCGCGGCACUACGUAGGGGGCAGGCGUUAUCCGGAUUUACUGGGGGUAAAGGGAGCGUAGGCGGCGAGGAAAGUUUGCAGGGAAAGCCCGCGGCUUAACCGCGGAACUGCUGUGGAAACUUGUAGGCUGGAGUACCGGAGAGGUAAGCGGAAUGCCUGGUGUAGCGGUGAAAUGCGUAGAUAUCAGGAAGAACUCCGAUGGCGAAGGCAGCUUGCUGGACGGAAACUGACGUUGAGGCUCGAAAGCGUGGGUAGCAAACAGGAUUAGAUACCCGAGUAGUC
rnacentral:rRNA from 1 species